UAAAAAGCAAACAAAGAAAUAAAGUGAAACACAACACACAUUGUUGUGUGUAUUUCCUUUUUAUAUGUACAUUUAAUGUCAUAAUUGAAUGGAAACAUUUGUUAAAAGACAAUUAUUUAGCAUUUUGUUUUUAAUACCUAAUAAUUCAACGAUUUUUAUUGUAACAUGAAUUUUCCAUGCCACAUUAAAAUCAAGUCACAACACAGAAAGCGCAGACAGAAUGGAAAGGACGCGAAUGCAGUAGACACCUUUUACAAAGGAAAAAACAAAACAUUUAUUUUGUUAUCUGGGGUAGAACAUUCAACGUGACCACACAGAAAGUGGCUAAUUCUAGUGAAAAUGUUGGUAAAGUAGCUUAUACAAUCCGUUAAAUCUCACAAAGUCACACUUGUUUCCUCUAACAUGGAUUAAAUGAGUUGAAAAAGCCACAUACAGUAAACUGCACUAAUCCUCACCAGGAUUGUAUAAUUG